ACCCGAGCCGCGCGCUUAACCUCUCGGGCUGGGUCCGGCGGGCUGCCCCGCCCCGGAACAAGCCCCAGCCCCACUGUCACCGUUGGGGGUGAGCUCGAGGUGGUGCCUCCCGGCUCCUCCUCAUCCCCUCUGCCCCCACCCCAGUCCCCUUCCAGAGCAGACUUCUGUCGACUGGCUGGUCAGAGCCACCAGGCUGUGUCCUGGCACAGGAGUUGUGCAUGGGCGGGACUCUGGGUUCUCAUGCCCUGGGGAGCGCCCGCGCCUGGGGCAGGGCUCCGUAGACUCCUUUGUCACCCCUCAGCUUCGCCGUGAGGAAAAUGUCCUGCAAACACCAGCCCAGAUGGAGGGAGCCACGGCUUCACCACUUCCUGCCGGUGUGCCGGGCUGCGCUCCAGGGACCGCUGGGGCCGUCACCAAAAGAACGGAGCCCAGGGAACGUGGAGAGGAGCCCAGAUGCCUGAGGACCGAGGAGGUUCCAGGGGUGCAGGACCUUUGAUGCUUAGAGCCAGGAGAGGCCACUCGGCCACCCUAAGGGCAGGUCUUCUGCCCCAGGCCGCGUGUGGUUUCUUUCGACACACUGAGGAAGCCUUUCUCCUGAGAUCACCAAAUGCAGCCUGCCCGGUUUCUGUUCCCCAUUACUGCGUAUGCGGUGGGCAAACCUCCUCCGGCCCUGAAAGCUCCUGGCUGCCUGGGGAUUUUCUGUGUGCUCCUACAUAAAAAGCAGCUUCUGUCACUCAACUGGCAAAUACAGUCUCAAUUCAGAGUCAGUCCAAAUCCAUUACCCUAACCCUGAGAUAUUAAUCCAAGCUCCAUUCUUGGUUUAAAGCCAGCCCCUGUGGGCCCUGCUCCCCCGGCCUCCUGGGGUGGAAGCCUGUGCUGGGGGCUGCGGUGUGGGGUUUGCUCUCCUCCCUCCCGCAGGUGGAUGCAGGGCGAGGGAGUGAGGAGGAAUGAGGGUCAGGGGCAGGAAAGGCAGCCUGUGGCAGCCAGGCGGGGCCAGCGCUGCACACCGGGGAAAGGCUCAGCGGGAACGUGUUCCCAGCACUUUGUCUCCCCAGGCCUCAGUUUCUGCAUCUGUAAACGGGCAUGUGCAGGGUUGUGA
rnacentral:lncRNA from 1 species